rnacentral:rRNA from 1 species
GACGGAGGGUGCGAGCGUUAAUCGGGAUUACUGGGCGUAAAGCGCAUGUAGGCGGCCGAACAAGUCAGGUGUGAAAUCCUCGGGCUUAACCUGGGAAGUGCACUUGAUACUGUCCGGCUAGAGUUUGGCAGAGGAAAGUAGAAUUCCCGGUGUAGCGGUGAAAUGCGUAGAUAUCGGGAGGAGUACCAGUGGCGAAGGCGGCUUUCUGGGCCAAUACUGACGCUGAGGUGCCAAUGCGUGGGGAGGAAACACC